rnacentral:rRNA from 1 species
AAUCGUCUAUCAGCUCAUAGCGUAUAUUAAAGUUGUUGCAGUUAAAAAGCUCGUAGUUGAAUUUCGGGGUUCCACCGUUGGUCGGGCUAUUGUYUGUACUGGCGUGUGGAAUUUCUACCUUCUGGGGAACUAUCAUGUUAUUAAUUUAGCGUGGUAGGAAACCAGGACCUUUACCUUGAAAAAAUUAGAGUGUUCAAAGCAGGCUUAUGUCUGAAUACAUUAGCAUGGAAUAAUAAAAUAGGACGGUGGUCCUGUUUUGUUGGUUUCUGAAUCACCGUAAUGAUUAAUAGGGAUAGUUGGGGGCAUUAGUAUUCAAUUGUCAGAGGUGAAAUUCUUGGAUUUAUUGAAGACUAACUACUGCGAAAGCAUUUGCCAAGGAUGUUUUCAUUAAUCAAGAACGAAAGUUAGGGGAUCGAAGACGAUCAGAUACCGUCGUAGUCUUAACCAUAAACUAUGCCGACUAGGGAUCGGACGAUGUUAACUUUUCUUGACUCGUUCGGCSCWAGGRRAAAAMA